rnacentral:lncRNA from 1 species
AUGUCCUUCCUCUGGCUGUGGAAUGUCCAGCAGCAGAGCGUGAGUGGCCAUGAAAUGAAGCUGGGCCUCAGGAGAGCCGUCUGGAGCUGCGUCACGAGCUUCGUGCCCUACAGUAAGCGUGAACUGAAGCAGUGUUGGUUAAGCACGGCUCACUCCUCUGUCUGCAACAGAUGGGCUUUCUGCACGUUUUAUUGCUGUGGCUGACGCUGAACAGCACAGCAGCAGCGAGGCCUCAAGCAUGUCCACAACCAGCAGGCAGCCUACUUGAGAGCAGUAAAGCAGUAGGCUGUCUGCGCUAUGGCUGCUGAACUGCAUUUCUCACCACCUGAGAUCCCUGAGCCCACGAUAUUGGAGAACAUGCUGCGCUACGGACUCUUGUUUGGAGCCCUUUUCCAGCUCCUGUGUGUGCUGGCCAUCAUCCUGCCAGCUUUCAAGUCCCCAAAGGCAGUAAGUGGUGCUCUCACGGGCUGAGAGAAAGGCACGGGCAACCGGCUGGGAGGGAACCAUCUGUAGCUGUUGCCUACGGCAGUGUGUCCCAGCACUGCUGAGAGUGCCGCAGUUGGCUCUGUCCUUCCUUCCGAGUGCGAGCUGUUCCUGAUGGCACACCAGCAGCCUGGAUGUGCCAGCUCAUCCUAUCCUGCAGCUGCUGCUGCGCCCU